ACGGCGUCGGCCCCGCGGCGCGGGCGAACCGGAGCGGGCCGGGCCCCGCCGCCCAUGCCGCGGAAAGCGCUGCUCUGCGUCCUGCAGCUGGACGUCCGCUCGAUAACUUGCCCUGGCAUGCUGCUGAAAGACAAAGAGGAGCUUUAUCUCAGUGUCUCUGUACUUGGGCAACACCAAAAAACUCAAUGUGUCCCUGCAGCGUUUCCACUCUUCUUUCAAGAAAAACUAGUAUUUAAGAAGACAUUUGCUGAUAUAGUUGAUCCUGGAGACCUUGUGGAGUUACUGGAACUUGACACAACAGUACUUGAACUAAUACAGCUCGUUCCUCCAGUAGGAAAAGUUCUAGCUACAUAUGAAGAAAAUACAAGAGAUUUCCUGUUCCCUGACCCUAAGCUUACCCGUGGGCACCAUGGUUUUGAUCGUGAGAUUUUAAUGAAGAGGUCCUCUUCUUUUACAGGAAUUGCACCAAAAUUGAGAUUUUCUACAAGCUCCCUUAUUACAGAAAGUCUGUUAAGCUCAGGAAGGAGUCACAUACAGGGUGAUUUGAAUUUGGUACAUCACUCAACCCCAAAUGGAAAAUUGCAAACAAAGUUGCCAAAGAAAAAUACUCUUUCACCUGAGAAAAACAGGCACAUCUUAGCAACAAAGAGCUACGAGCAGCCUACAAUAGCUUCUAAAUCACGUUCACCAUCUCCAUACACAAAAAGACGAAUGUGUGAGCUAUCACAAGAAGCCAGGCAACGACUGGCCCAUUUAAAACUUGGUCCUUAUGAAUUCAGAAGAGAUACCGAUAAACCUCCAUUUGUAGUUAGACGGGUUGAACAGCCAAGUCCUGGUGCUAAACUUCAUACCUGUUGUCACACACGAGAAAGUGCAGCAGAAGCCUGGACCAAGGUAGACUAUGAUUCUUCUGUUCUUGGCAGCUACAGACCUAAGCAAGCCAAAGCAAAAUCUCCUCAUGGAAAAUACUUUGGCAGCUCUGAUGUUUGCAAUGAGGAUAUGAUCUCAGGUCCAGCCAACAGACGGUCCCAUUCUGCUGGUUCAUUAGAGCAUUCGGCGUCUCCAGCACUUCAGAAGCAUUCUCUAAGUUCUGUGCUAAAUCGAUCUUCUCUAAGGGAAAGAUUUAGCUCUGGUUGGCCUUUACCAGCAAAUGGAGAGGAGAUCCACACGAGAGUGAAAAAUAUUUUAAGGACACACAGUGCUAGACAGCGCCUAAUAUUUAGUAGAGUAAACGUGGUUGUGUGUGGUGGAAUUUCUACCAUCCUGCCUCAGGAUGAGAGUAACUCAUCAAAAGGAGGCUUGACUAAAACAGGAGAAUCUGCGCAUAAAGCACCCUUAUCCAUGAGGGAACAGCAGAGCAGUUCACCAAUGCAGCAGAACACCACUGUUCACUUGGAUAAUGGUGAAUAUUGGUCUAAUCGUGCAGCUUUAUACAAAGGGAAGCCUCACAGAGCCAUCUUUGAAGAGAGUCUCGAGAAAAUAUACAGAAACAUGUACCGAAAAGCUGCUGGCACUGAUUCAGACAAAAAACCACACUCCUAAUAACAGUUCACCUGGAAAUGCACAGUAUGCAGUGUUCGUAUUUGUUAUGAGAUCUAUUUUUAUGUAACAAAUAUUUGUACUCUAUUUUUAAAGUGUUAUUAUGGUUGGGCAGGGUUUUCAAGAAAUGGGGUUUUGGCCUGGGUCGCCAAAGGAAACUAUUAACUCUGAUCCUCACCUUGCUUUUCCUUCUCUUCCCCACCCUCCAAACAACAAAUCAAACAAACAAAACCAGCAACUAAGCCCUUGCACAGUUAAGCAAGAUGGUGUUGCUCCUUUGAGACUAUGAAAAGAAGGCUAAUUUAAAAACAUUUGAAGAGUAAUAGGUCUGCUGGACAUUGCUGUCUGACGUUAACUCAGAUUUUAGCUGCAGCCAAUUCUAACUAAAUAAUUAAAGCUAUUUAGUAACAUAAACAGACUUGACUGACAAAGCAAUAUGUCCUAGUGUUCAGAGAGGGGGUCUAAAAAGGAAGGUGAAGGUGAUUGUUGACUUAAAAGCAUCCCAUGUGGGACAAAGGGAAUUGUUUUCUAGAAAAUUGUCUUUGGAUUGUUUAGUUUUUGAGACCUCUGAUACUGACCCAUAGACAUGCUUUCAAAGUGGUUUCAAGCACCUUUAGUCACAAAUUUCCUAAUACUGUCAAAUUUUGAAAGGAACCCACCCAGCCCAGCAGCCUUUGUAUCUGAAGAAAUGUCAUCUUCACACACCUUGUGCAUUUGAAAGCUUCCAGCUUCUCUUGAAUGCAGCCAUGAUAUUUGCCAAUAUACUUGUAAUUUUAACCAAUAUGAAUAACAAAAGAGUGUGGAGGGUGAAAGACUGCAACUAGUCAGCAAGCUCCUCAUAUGCUCUGUGGAGGCCUUCUGAAGUUCCUGCAUCACAAUCCCACCUAAUUUGGAGCCUGUGCUUCCCAGUCUGCUGGGACCUUGUUGGCAGAAAUUGCAUCGUUUUUGCUAAAGGCCACCAAAUGUUCAUCAGCAGUUCGAUGCUUUCCCCGGAGAUGGAACCUUUACAGCCUUGCAUUGAACAGAUCCCACAUUAGCAGACCGGGGCAAAUUGCCCAUCUAUUGAAAAGCAGAAUGUUUUAAAAGGGCAAGAGUGUCCAUCUCCUGCUUCCCUUCAGAAUGGGGGGGAAAAAACAAAUGCCUGUUCUGGCUCUUUCUCUGUCGGAGAGAACAGAUUCAGUUACACCAAUGCCAUUUUACCUGUUAGGAUUGGAUUAAGGAUAAAGCUAGCAGUACAGAUGGCAGAACAUAUGACUGUAACCUGCCAGCAUGCCUAGAUAAACAAAAAGUUGGUCUACUCUGCCUUCCAUCCUUUAGUGCUGAGACAACAUAAUUGAAUUGAGAAAGCAGUUGGUGAGCAAUUAUGCUAGUGGGAAAGCACGUAGAAAGGCUGUGUGCUUCUGUUUCAGGAAAGGGGACUCUCAGAGGAAGUGUCUUGCAUAUAGACAUUUCUAUUCUUCGUAACUGUUAAACCAGUUGAAGUGGAUUAACAGUGAUAACUUCCUGUCCCUGAUGCCAUUUAGCACAUUAGUGCAUUCAAAGGGCAUUAGUUGCAUAGUCAUGCUAUGGAUAAGUGUUGAGUCACUCUAUGAAGUACUAGUGAACUUUUUUUGCAGAAGUGAAAAGUAAAACUCACCCAAGCUGUGCCACUGGAGGCAUGGUGGCCAUGGAGUAUUGUGCUACCAGUACCAGGUAUUCAUUCAUCAGCCUGUUCCUGUGACCCCAUGUUAGUCCAUAAAGGAAUAGUUUCUUUCUCUUUGCUGCUCAGGAAAGUAGGUAUAUUCAAGUGGAUCCUAAAUAGGCAGGGCACAUGCUAAGAAAUACCUUCCAAGCUUUUGGUUGAAAAUGAAUCUACUGAAAUCUGAAGGUCGUUGCAGUUUCCUAUGUUUGAGCCGUAGGAUUUAUUGUUCUUCUUAUGGUAUCCCAGUUUUCAUUCAAUAUUCUCUCUGUUUUCCCUCCCCAGUGUCAUAGCUUAGUAAAAGUUCCAGUCUUCUGAUGAUUGGCUGCUCACCUUUGACCUAAUCUGGGUUCAUGACACAGAAGUACUGUUUGAUUUUUCCAUUCCUGGCAAUCCAGCAGAUUUUAGUCCCUGUUUGUUCAAUGUGUUAGAAGGCCUGACUUCUGGGGCUUUGGGGUUUUUUUUUAAUGGAUGAGUAAGGACACAAGUUGCCAUGAAUUCAAGACACAAAGAGGGGAUGAGGGAAGUUGGAGGCCGUGGUGAAAAAACAGUGUAAUGUUUUUAGAUGUCCAGAGGAAUGGCUGCGGUGUAUCUGUGUGAUUCCUCUAGCUAAAGAAAGGAAACAUAUGGUAAUAUGGCAACCUUCAGUUUUUCAGCAAAGAUGAAAAGUUUUUCAUCAAAGGUGAAAACUGGAUGGGAAUUAAAAAAGUGUCAUAUAUUGAAUUUUGACUGGCAUGAAUAUUGUCAGUGUAGCCUUCAUAUGCAGCAUAACAACAAAUGAAGCAGAUAGACUGUGAGUGUCUUUGGCCCUGCUCCAGCUGCGAGGAGAGAUGGUGUAUAUAAUGUCUUUCUGAAUCAGCUGCUGCAGGAUAUGUGCUUCUCUCUUGGGUCAGAGUCAUUCCACAGCUUGUAUGCUGUGAUACAGCAGAGAGUGUUCUUUUCCAAGCACUGUGCUGGAAAUCUGGUUUGGUUAAUGGAAAACUUUUCUCUGAAAUGUGACUUAAACCCCAAAUUACUCUGAUCUGUCCAUAAAAUCUGCAAGCCACUUUGUUUUCGGAAGCAUUUGGCCCCUUCCCUGUUUGCUCAGCUAACCCUCUUAUUAAUAUGCAUGCAGCUCAAGUGCACUGAGCACUGCUGCUCCCUUGCUGCUGCAGUAUGUGAUAAGUAUAGGUUCAGGCAGCAAACCAACGUAGUAAUAAACUGUAAUUGUUUAGUGCACCUUGCCUUCUAAUACAAUUUAAAUCCCUUCUAUCAAAUGCAAAUUUCCAGGUUCCUGAGUGGAUCUUUAAAUAGCAUUUUUCUAUGCUCAUUCCUUAUCUUUUGCCAUCCACAAAGUGGUCUGUUAGUGACAGUGGGAUGGCAUAAUUCCACCCCCGUCAUUUUACCUCCUAAAGGAAAGCUGCCUACUCAAAUCUAGAAAUAAUGGGCUAGAUUAAGAGGGAAUUAGUGUUUUUCUGUAGAGUCUGUCUCUUUCUCUUGCGCUCCCCAAGUCGUUAUAACCCAUGAGUAUUCUCACCAAAUGCUAUUCAGCAUCCAGCGUUGCUUGCCAUAUGCACUCCAUGCAGUAUUUUAAUCACUUUCAUUUUAAUAAGUCAAGAGUCUGCUUCCUACUUACUCCCCUCUUCCCUACAAAUAACUUGUUACAGUUUAGGAUCUUGGGGUGGCUUUAGACAAACUAUCCACCUGUGUUCAGUAGAAAUGCAAAUCCUUUGGUGAGUGGUAGUUGCUUUGGAAAUCACUCGGUCAUUGACCUGUUGUGGAUUAAAGGCAAAAAUGUCAAACUCUAAUGAUUUGCCUUAUCUAAGCUUCCAACUAGAAGAGAAGCUUAAAUUGGUCCACUGGGCACAGGAGAAGAUGAGUAAUGGGAAUACCUUGGAGCAUCUUGGCAGUCCUGGGGUAACGGUUGGACUUGAUGAUCUUUAAAGUCUUUUCCAACCUCGUUGAUUCUAUGAUUCUGUGGACAGGCAGCAGUGUUUAUAGUCCAAAUCUGAGCAGCUUGGAAGAUGAUGAGGACUGUUCUUUAGAUUGUGCGUCACAUGUUUGAAUUUUACUAUUACUUCAGAGGCUGCCAAAACGGCGAGGGGAGAAAGAUAUCUACCUAGAGUUGUUGGGAAUCUAUAUUUUCGGUAAAGAAACAGAACAUUUAGCUCUGCUCAAUAUUAAAGAGUCUUUUCCAAGCUCCCUCUCAUUGUUACCUCAGCUGUAAAAUGGGGAGUUUGUGCUCUGUUGAAGCUUAAUUAAAUGACUGUGAAGUGCUUUGGGAUCCUGAGGUGAAUGUUACAGAAAUUAUUUUGUGGGAGCCUGGCUGGAAAGUCCCAUCUCAUCUCCAGGUUACUAAAGAGGCUUUAUUUUAAUUUUCUCAGUUUUAUUAUGUUUUAAUUAGGCAGUUAUUAAGCAAGUGUUAAUCUUAUCAAGAUAGAAAUCUAUUAAGUCUAAGAGACGGCUGAAAAAGAUAAUGAAGUACUUUACUACAUGUGCUUUUAGGCACUAAUUUUUACAGUUGGUAUCCUACUCAGCUUCUGUCUCCUGCAUGAUCUGGGUUCAUCAUACUCAGACUGAUUGUUCUCAUGAUAUCUUUUUUAAUACAAAUCAUUUUUUUGUCAUCCUGAUGUCUCGGUGCUGUCUGCUGUGUGUACUAAUCAGCACCAUUAACAUCUGUCACAUCAUUUGUUCUCAUCUUCUCCCCAGGAGCAAGGGGUUCAAUAAUGUGUGCAACUUGACAGUGGAAAAGUUUGUGUGGUGUGCCAUGGGUUUGUCAGAGAAAGUAAGUUGGAAGGAAUCUCUGCCUUUUCAGUCCCUGUGCAAGGAAUAGCUUAUUAAAUAAUUCUACUCUUCCUGAUUUUUAAGCUUCAAAGUCUUUUCUGAAAUGCUGAACUAUGCAACAAAAUUCUUCACCUUGUAGCAGUGGUCACUUAACUGUAUAAAUCUUGUAAUGUGGAAUCUCUGGGUCAUGGGAAAGCCUACCAUGGUGUUAAUUACUUCAGUGGUUAUGGAGUGGUCAUUAUCAGGAUGAGGAUGCUGAGAGUAUCUCAAGAGAUUUGUUUAGUAGUAAAGGAAUUUGGGGAAACUUUCACAUCAGUGAAACUUAGCUUCUUGAUUCUGGUGAAAACAAUUGAAGCUAAAAGAGUACUUCUGUGGCUGAUCUUGAUGAGCAACCUCACUGACAGAAAUGAUGUCUGAUUUGGGUGAUGGUCUCUGGUAACAGAAGAGAACCGGUCUUUGCCCAGUUCCUUUUGGUUUCAAUAAAUAAACCAGUGUGGUGGGAAGUGAUCAAGAACACCUAUUUCUAUUACACAGUGCACAAGCCCCAUUUGUGCAUUGGUUUCUAUUGCUUUCUCCACGGAAUUCAAAACAUCAUGAACCAAAGCCCUUAAAAGAUGAAGCUGUAGCUCUUUUUGUUAUCAGUGUUGGCUUGCCAAAGACUUGCAGUUUGUUCCCUGUUUGUCUUGAGUGAGAAAUUCUCUGAAGUGCAGUGAUAAUUUGUCAGGAGGGCAACAUAAAGGAACUGUAAUCUUUCUCUCUGCUUGAUCAGUUUGGAGAUUGUGCUUUUUCUUCAUGUGUAUUUCUAUUCAACCCUGGGUGAUUGCUUCUGACCUAGCAGAGAACUCUCUGUAUUCUGAGAAGUGGUGAUCUGAGCCUUCUUCUCACCUCUUCAGGGAAAUGAGUUCACUGUUGCAAAACAACAUCCCUCUUGGUUCAUAAGAAUUGACUGAUCCUGAGGAUACAGCACAAAGAUUUUGUCCUGUGGCCAGGCAUUUGUGUAACCCUGCAGAGCUGAUGCCAUUGACAGAGCUUCACACAGAGCUUUUCAGAGCCAUCUUGGUGACUAUGACAGAGGACCAGAGUAUUUCUGUGAUUCUGUUAAUUAGAGCUGAAAAAGGAAAGAAGGAAUAAGAAACUAGCAGAAAAAAAAAAAGGGAUACACAUGAAGCUGUUUCCCCUUUGCUGCGUAUGAGGGUGGAGGGAAAGGGCUGGAGUGGCUCCUUGGUACGAGUGUGUGGAGGAGUAGGGAGGGGAACUUCUGCAGUGCUGACCUAAGGUCAGUCAGAAAUAACCAGCUGGAGUGACAUGAGUGUAAACCUGGUGGAAGUGACAGGCAGCUCAGCUCCUGGGACUCUAUUUACAUAUGUUUAAAACAAACAGAAAAGCUGCCUUUGUUCCCUAGGAAAAUCUAUUUAUUUGGCAUUCAGCUCAUGUAUAAGCUGGAACUUCUUUCAUAGAAGAUGUAGAAACAAAGCAACCGACAUUUCUGCUUUGAUGUGAAGCUGAAGCUAAGAUUUGAUUUUGAAAUAUGAAAGUAAACUGAAACUACCUCCAAUUUAAAGGGGGGAGGAGGGGGUUUAAUGACCUUAAAAGUUUUGGGAAGUUUCCCCCCCCCCCCCCUUAGGGACCAGAAGAAAUUAUAACAGUAAUCUUACUUAUAGCUGUAAGUCUACAGAGACAGUGGCUGUAGGUUAAUGAAAAAUUGACACUGCUACUUGCCUGUGCUUCCAGCAGGAUUUUUUUUCUUCAAACUGAUGUGAACUAUUGCACUGCGUGAGCUGGUUAUGAGGCUCACAUAUUAAAUCGGAUGCUGCUUUUGUGGAAGCUGCAGCAGCAAGUCGCAGCUGAAUGUUUUGAACAACAUUCCUGUUUUGAACGAAUGCAGCAAAAAUUAGGGGUUUCUUAAGAUGGUUACCCUGGUCCUACCCCUCACACACGCACACACACAGAAAUAAAGCUUGCUGUGCCACCCUAAACCAGAAAGCAGACAGAGGAAUUGUCUGUGAGGAUCUCCAGCCCAGUACUGAAUCAGGAGUGCUGUCAAUCCAACCUGAUAGUAGUCUA